rnacentral:rRNA from 1 species
GGGAGUUGGGGGCAUACUAUAAUGCAAGUCGAGCGGACAGAUGGGAGCUUGCUCCCUGAUGUUAGCGGCGGACGGGUGAGUAACACGUGGGUAACCUGCCUGUAAGACUGGGAUAACUCCGGGAAACCGGGGCUAAUACCGGAUGCUUGAUUGAACCGCAUGGUUCAAUUAUAAAAGGUGGCUUUUAGCUACCACUUACAGAUGGACCCGCGGCGCAUUACCUAGUUGGUGAGGUAACGGCUCACCAAGGCAACAAUGCGUACCCAACCUGAAAGGGUGAUCGGCCACACUGGGACUGAAACACGGCCCAAACUCCUACGGGAGGCAGCAGUAGGGAAUCUUCCGCAAUGGACGAAAGUCUGACGGAGCAACGCCGCGUGAGUGAUGAAGGUUUUCGGAUCGUAAAACUCUGUUGUUAGGGAAAAACAAGUACCGUUCGAAUAGGGCGGUACCUUGACGGUACCUAACCAAAAAGCCACGGCUAACUACGUGCCAGCAGCCGCGGUAAUACGUAGGUGGCAAGCGUUGUCCGGAAUUAUUGGGCGUAAAGCGCGCGCAGGCGGUUUCUUAAGUCUGAUGUGAAAGCCCCCGGCUCAACCGGGGAGGGUCAUUGGAAACUGGGGAACUUGAGUGCAGAAGAGGAGAGUGGAAUUCCACGUGUAGCGGUGAAAUGCGUAGAGAUGUGGAGGAACACCAGUGGCGAAGGCGACUCUCUGGUCUGUAACUGACGCUGAGGCGCGAAAGCGUGGGGAGCGAACAGGAUUAGAUACCCUGGUAGUCCACGCCGUAAACGAUGAGUGCUAAGUGUUAGAGGGUUUCCGCCCUUUAUUGCUGCAGCAAACGCAUUAGCACUCCGCCUGGGGGAGUACGGUCGCAAGACUGAACUCAAGGAAUUGACGGGGGCCCGCACAGGCGGUGGAGCAUGUGUUUAUUUCGAAGCACGCGAGACCUUACCAGGUCUUGACAUCCUCUGACACCUAGAGAUAGGCUGCUCUUCGGGCAGAGUGACAGUGGUGCAUGUUGUCGUCACUCGUGUCGAGAAUGUUGGGUUAGUUCCGCAACGACGCACCUUGAUCUUAGUGGCAGCAUCAUGGCACUCUAGGUUACUGCGUGACACGGAGAAGUGGGGGAUGACUCCAUCAUCAUUGCCCCUGUAUAUGA